UUUUUAGUAUAAGUAUGUCCCGCAUAAUAUUUGGGACACACUUAUGCUAAAA
rfam:Equus caballus chromosome 11, whole genome shotgun sequence.